rnacentral:rRNA from 1 species
CCUACGGGAGGCAGCAGUGGGGAAUAUUGGGCAAUGGGCGCAAGCCUGACCCAGCAAUGCCGCGUGAAGGAAGAAGGCUUUCGGGUUGUAAACUUCUUUGACAGGGGAAGAGCAGAAGACGGUACCCUGAAAACAAGCCACGGCUAACUACGUGCCAGCAGCCGCGGUAAUACGUAGGUGGCAAGCGUUGUCCGGAUUUACUGGGUGUAAAGGGCGUGUAGCCGGGAAUGCAAGUCAGAUGUGAAAUCUGGAGGCUCAACCUCCAAAGUGCAUUUGAAACUGUUUUUCUUGAGUACUGGAGAGGCAGACGGAAUUCCUUGUGUAGCGGUGAAAUGCGUAGAUAUAAGGAGGAACACCAGUGGCGAAGGCGGUCUGCUGGACAGCAACUGACGGUGAGGCGCGAAAGCGUGGGGAGCAAACAGGAUUAGAUACCCCAGUAGUC